rnacentral:rRNA from 1 species
ACGAACGCUGGCGGCGUGCUUAACACAUGCAAGUCGAACGAUGAAGCCUUUCGGGGUGGAUUAGUGGCGAACGGGUGAGUAACACGUGGGCAAUCUGCCCUUCACUCUGGGACAAGCCCUGGAAACGGGGUCUAAUACCGGAUAAUACUGCGGACUGCAUGGUCUGUGGUUGAAAGCUCCGGCGGUGAAGGAUGAGCCCGCGGCCUAUCAGCUUGUUGGUGAGGUAGUGGCUCACCAAGGCGACGACGGGUAGCCG